GACGAACGCUGGCGGCGCGCCUAACACAUGCAAGUCGAACGAGCGAGAGAGAGCUUGCUUUCUUGAGCGAGUGGCGAACGGGGGAGUAACGCGUGAGGAACCUGCCUCAAAGAGGGGGACAACAGUUGGAAACGACUGCUAAUACCGCAUAAGCCCACGACCCGGCAUCGGGUUGAGGGAAAAGGAGCAAUCCGCUUUGAGAUGGCCUCGCGUCCGAUUAGCUAGUUGGUGAGGUAACGGCCCACCAAGGCGACGAUCGGUAGCCGGACUGGGAGGUUGAACCGCCACAUUGGGACUGGGACACGGCCCAGACUCCUACGGGAGGCAGCAGUGGGGAAUAUUGCACAAUGGGGGAAGCCCUGAUGCAGCGACGCCGCGUGGAGGAAGAAGGUCUUCGGAUUGUAAACUCCUGUUGUUGGGGAAGAUAAUGACGGUACUCAACAAGGAAGUGACGGCUAACUACGUG
rnacentral:rRNA from 1 species